UUUUUUUUUUUUCUUCCUGAAGGUCUAAUAAUUUCUCUUUUAGGAAACUCCGUAUAAAUGGAGACAUAGGUACAACUUGCUCAUUGAUGCCAGCGGUGAAAAACCAGAACCACCAAGGUGUCUAUUAAUUAAAAAAUGGAUAAAUAAGCGAACUAACAGCACGUCCAUCCUCAUGGAUAAAGCUGAGACACGCGAGGUUGAGUGGAGAGGUACACUCAGCAUGUGGGGCCAUUUAUAAAAGGCGUGAAAACAAACGAGCCAAGACUAGGUGUUAUUUACAAAUCUCCGUGGAUGUAGAAGCGGCUGGACGCCUAGGAUGACCAGACCCCGGUCAGGGUAGGCGACCUCGCUGAGGGCACCUGGCUCCCAGCUGGCCCCCCCGGCGCCGCUGGCACAGGCCCGGGGUUCCCACCAGGUCCUGGUCGCUGCAGUCUUCCUGGUCCGUGGCCCACUUCUCUUUGGACUUGGCGCUGUCAUGCUGGGAGUCCAGAGAGACGAUGUCCGAUGGGGAGCUGAUGACGCCGGAGUCCUCCGUGGUGUCCUCGGACGCCAAGCAGCUGCCGACGGACACGGUCUCUUCCGCCUCUGGUGGUAUGGGCGGGACCCUGUCCACACCUCGGGGGCUGCCAGGCCCCAGGGGCAGGCUCCCUGGACGAGACAGGGCAACGGCAGGUCAGCCAGCACCCAGGGGCUCCCCGCCGCCAGACUCAGGUGCAGUCCGGGCUUGGGGCGCCAGGGAGGGUCCGCUCAGACACAGCAGCUGCCGGGCAGCACUUUGACUGGGAAGAACCCGCAAGCGGACGUGACUGAGAGCAGCAGAUCCCCUCAAAAAUCAGCGUAUUUUGAAUUGAUCUUGUGAAUUUUUACCCUGUAUGUGACUACGGGCCAACAUUAAAAAGUUCAGACAAUUGUCACGACAAAAUGAGGAAACACACACUCAAUUUGUCUAGUCUGACCCUUGGUUUAAAAGAAAUUUUGUUUCUUUGGGUUUUUUUGGCCACAUUUCAUGGUGUGGGGAAGUUCCCGGACCAGCGAUUGAACCCGAGCCACAGUGGUGACCCAAUUCACUUCAGCGACAACAUCAGAUCCUUAACCCGCUGUGUCACAGGGGAACUCCUAAUAGAAGUUGUUCUCAAGUGAGUUGUUUGGGAAAAAAAAGGAGUUUAAAAACUCUAAACAAACCUAGAAAUGAUUAAUCUUGUUUGGGAACUUCUAACAAAUAUUCCUCAGGAAUAUUUGUAAUUCUGCUGAAAACAUUAACGACACUCUCCAUCAGCGUCCGGCUCUCCCUUUAUUUUCACAUGUGAGACAGUUAGAUCUGAUUUAAAUAAGCGAUGAUCGUAGGAGAGAACCCACAAGUAAAACUGAAAAGAAUCAGGACAGGGGGUUCCCUGGGGGUGCAGAGGGUUGAGAAUCCAGCAUUGUUACCGCAGUGGUUUGGGUCCCUGUUGUGGUUUGGGUUUGAUCGCUGGCCUGGGAAACUGCACAUGUGGCAGUUGUGGCCAAAAAAAAAAAUAAUAAUAAUAAUAAAUAAAAGAAUCAGGACAAAACAUCCGUGGCUGAGGUUACCAGGCCCUGAGCACUAAUGUGGUUUGCGGCAGAAGCAGUAAGGUGCAGAGCUGUCACUCACCGUGGAGGCCCACGUUCCACUGAAGUCUAGCAGUGGUGAUGGGGGCUUUGAGGCACCCGGCUCGUCCAUCCAGCUCGCCUAAGAAGGAUCUGCCUACAGUAUUGAGGUGCAAGGACAGGAAUCCAGAAUGCUGGACCAAUUGUGGACCAGAGGGUUUUUUUUAAGGUCUGCACCUGUGGCAUAUGGAAGCUCCCCUGCUAGGAACUGAAUCUGAGUUGCAGCUGCAGGGCUACGCCACAGCCACAGCAAGGCCAGCUAUGAGCUGUGUCUGCACCCUACACCACAGCUCUCAGCAGGGCUGGAUCCUUAACUCACUGGGCGAGGCCAGGGAUCGAACCCAUAUCCUCAUGGAUACUAGUUGGGUUCUUAACCCACUGAACCACAAGGAAACUCCCGCAGAUUUUUUUUUUUUUAAAUUGAACACAGAAGUAGAUUUUCAACUUUAAGACACCUCAAGACGUGAUCUAAGCGCUGUUUAUGGUCAUCCAGGACGGAGGGGUUGUGUUGUGGUUUCAGUGUGUUUGGUUUUAAAACCGCUCCUUCAACGAGCACUUGCUAAAAUGAAUAGAGACCACACACGCGCUGAGUGCCAAGUCCGCAGAACUGUGCCUGGACAGUCGAGUGACCUCAUAAUCACGUUCGGCAUCGCUCACAUUUUAACUAGAGCAGAGCAGAGACACAGAAUUAGCAAAGCCGAGAGAGCACCAAGGGGAAAACUCCUGCGGGUGUUGGCUUAUCUGAGAUCCCCAACAAUAAAACACAGAAACGAGCGAGAUUUAAAAAAAAAGGCACUCGCGAGAGCUUCCGAGUAAAGAUCAGAAACAAGGGAGGGACUGUUUAGCGAAGCAAAGGCACAAGGCGACGUAUCCGACGCAGUGAAUGCUCGUUAACAAGAGGCCCUUUCUUCCAGCUCCCUUCCUGGCUUUUGUGGGGCAAGACUCUUAAUUAGAGGGCAAACACGCAGAAGGAACACUGCCGCUGCGUUAAUACAACCAAAGCCUUUUCUGCCAUGGGUGCUGCUGUCACACCUCGGACGGGGUGUGCCGGCUGCUGUGUCCGCGGGGCCGGGGACUCCGCCCGGGACCCUCCUGCCCGCUCUGCUCAGAGAGGCCCCCCUGCACAGCCACAGGGCGGCCCGACGACCGUGCAGACUCUUGUUUCCUGUCUCCCUUUUGUCGCCAUCGCUGAACAAGUAGGUCAGUUAACCUAACAUGACGUUUCCUUCCUCCUGGUGCAGAAACGGCCCGGCCAGGGGAGCGGCGCCCAGGUUUCAGGCCGCAGAGACCUGGGUUUAAGUCCCAGAGAGCACUUCACUGGCUGCCCGGGCAGGUCCCUGGACCCUCUGUCUCCAUUUCCUCUGGGAGGUGGGGUCAUACACUGUCGCAGAACUAGAAGCGAUGCCAGCCCCCAGCGCGGUGCCCUGGCCCGACUCCACUGUGGGGGGUGUUCCUGGAGGGGACGGGCCUGUGGCUGGACCUGGGGGCACAGAUCUCCAAUCCGAGCGUCUCCGAAACCUGGGGACUCACGGUUUGUGAGAGGACAGACACAAAGACCGACAAUGCCAGGGAGUAAAGCCAAGUCCGGGUGUGUUGGCACAGGUAGAGGGGGUGGGCUGGGCAGCGGGAGGUCUUAGCGCAGGGCAGGUAUGAAUGAGUCUGGCCCUGCCCCCUCCCCACGCCAGCAGGCAUCCCUCAAGUGUGAAGUGACCUCAAGAAACCUGCUCCCCAAAGGAGGACUCUCAUCUGGCCCCUCCCAACGACUAGGACCACAGGUUUCCUGAUACUCGUGUGCCCUGGGCACUCAGAAGGCAUCCACUGGGGGGUGGGGUAGGGAGGACCCCGAGCUGCCCCUUUCUAUCCAGUUGUAAGAUGGAGAUGGCUCAUCUGGGCUUGUUUUAUGUCCGUCAGAAGUUCUGAAGCAAACGGAGUUGUGAGCUACUGUUCUAAAUUCAGCCAACGGCAAACGCUUCAUCACCAAGAGGUGAGAAGGCUCUACUCACUGCGUGUGUGUUAAGCGACCUAAAAGUGCACAGCGGAGACUGAGUGCCAGGCGGGUCCUCUGUUUCUGGCAGAUAACCUCUCCCGGGCCCAGGCUGCUCCGUCCUUGAACCUGAUGAGGGACAGGUGCUCGUGAGGGCCCUGAGGCGGUGCCGGGCAGCGGGCGCGGGAGGCCCUGCUCUCAGGCAGCCCGCAGCCACAUGGGAUUGGAAGCGCCUGGGGGAUGGCUGCCAUGCCUCCUGCAACUGCGCGCAUGGGAAGGGCCAGGGAGGGUUGGGGCAGAGGGUGGAAGGGUGCUCAGGGCACAGGGUGGGUCUGCAAGCCAGGGCGUGACCUGCUGGGGCACAGGUAUAGGUGGGCUCCGUGGACUCCGCUGGGUGAGCUGCCAAAGACGGCAGAUUUGAAGAAGGAACCCGCGUCCCUGUGAGGUUCUGAACCUGGGUUGGGGUGUUCAGUUCUUUCUGCAGUCGGCUGUCAGCCUGAGAACCUCCCGCUUGGAACCAGACCCUCCAUCUCACUCCCCUGCCCCCCAUCUUUCUCCUUUUGGCUCAUUCCUGUUACUAUAACCUCCUGAGCUGUAACAUGUUUUGACAACUUCUGUCUGAGAUGAUGGAGCAGGAGGCUGUCAUGCCUUUGCUGAUUCCAAACGGAAGCCUAAACACAAGAGGAAGGCCUGGAGCUGCUGGGCCCAGGUCCUGCCCCCAGAUCCUUCCGCACACCUCGCUUUCCACCCGCCCGUGGCCCCGAGGGUUUCCACCGAGCAGUGGUCCAGGGACCCAGCCCGAGCCCCACGUUCUGGUCAGACUGCUGCUCAGAACUUUGAACAGCCCUUUCUCCUCUCUGUGAAACACACAAGGGGAUGCCGAUGAGCAUAAAAUCCCUGCUAGAUCUAGAAUCCUAUCCUUCUCUGCAAUUCCAAAUCACAAGAGAGCAGCUAAACAUUCUUUCGGUGGGUGACUGGCCCCGAAUUAGGAAUCUUAACAGAACCGUGGCGUGGACUUGAUCCUCUGGCCAGUUUCUGUCGGCCCUGAGAGUUAAGCAGUUCUUUUUGAGUCGAUGAAUGGAUUGGCGAGUUUGCUCUCCUCUUAAGGCGUGAAUGACUUUCUUGAACUAAAAAGUUAUUGUUGCAGGAUUUUUCUUCAAAUGUGGAAAAACACGCUUACUUUGUCUUUAGCAGAUGCCAAACACACAUUCGUGAUUGAAUUCUCUUCCACAUAAGUGGCCCCGGGGCCCAGGUCAGGCCUAUUACUGCCCGCAUCGUCCUCCACCCGAAUGAAUGACCCCGUGAGUCGACUGCGUUACAGCUAAAUGAAGGGCUUUGGGAAACUGUCCGGCUCGGGGGUAGAGCAGCAAAUCCUAACUUAGGGCUCCCAGGUCCUCACUUGCAGUUUGGCACGAAUUCUAGUGAGUUUUUCUUUUACAAACUCACCGAAGAAAACUUCAAACACCAAACGUAAAUAUCUCCUAAGCACUUUUGUCGUGGGUUCAUUUUUAUGAUUUGAUUAAAUGCAAACGAAAGAUCUUCUAUCUUCUGAUUUAGCUUCCGACGCGCUCUCUUGCUGGUCAUUACGAAAGGAGAUUUCUCGAGUCUGUUUGGCCAGGUUCACACGCCCGUAUCGUUAGCAGACUAAUCGCAUCCCCAUGGGGUCCUGGUGUCUGCGGUUCCCUGUGCACCUUUCACAAGCCAACAGGCCUCCAUCUCAACCUACCUGGAUGUAGUUCCUUUUGGUCUGUGCACUGGGGAUAAAGCGGAAAAGAAGGGAGCUGCAGGUAAGGUCCUCCUGAGCCCAUGAUGCCACCUGACAUGAUAUACAUCCAGGGUUUUUGGCAGACACACCCCUAAAUAACGUGCACAGCCACGCACCCUGCUGACAUUUUAACUCACAUCUGCAAGGUUCCAUCGCAAUUUCAACUAAUUACAACAGAUGUACUUUCACUGCAACUGUUAAU
rnacentral:lncRNA from 1 species